CCGGCCGUAGCUCAACUGGAUAGAGCAUUCGGCUUCUACCCGAAAUGUUGGGGGUUCGAUUCCCUCCGGCCGGACCA
rnacentral:tRNA from 8 species